AGUGAACGCUGGCGGUAGGCCUAACACAUGCAAGUCGAACGGCAGCACAGUAAGAGCUUGCUCUUACGGGUGGCGAGUGGCGGACGGGUGAGGAAUACAUCGGAAUCUACUUUUUCGUGGGGGAUAACGUAGGGAAACUUACGCUAAUACCGCCUACGACCUACGGGUGAAAGCAGGGGAUCUUCGGACCUUGCUCGAUUGUAUGAGCCGAUGUCGGAUUAGCUAGUUGGCGGGGUAAAGGCCCACCAAGGCGACGAUCCGUAGCUGGUCUGAGAGGAUGAUCAGCCACACUGGAACUGAGACACGGUCCAGACUCCUACGGGAGGCAGCAGUGGGGAAUAUUGGACAAUGGGCGCAAGCCUGAUCCAGCCAUACCGCGUGGGUGAAGAAGGCCUUCGGGUUGUAAAGCCCUUUUGUUGGGAAAGAAAAGCAGCAGGUUAAUACCCCGCUGUUCUGACGGUACCCAAAGAAUAAGCACCGGCUAACUUCGUG
rnacentral:rRNA from 1 species